rnacentral:rRNA from 1 species
GGCUAACGCUGGCGGCGUGUCUUAGCCAUGCAAGUCGAGCGGACUUAUGGGGUAACUUAUAAGUCAGCGGCGGACGGCGGAGUAACACGUAGCUAACCUACCCUCUGGACGGGGAUAACCUACCGAAAGGUGGGCUAAUACCCGAUGUAGUCAUCCUGUAUAGGGGUGAUGAAAGGUGGGCUUCUGUUUACAAGCUCAUGCUGGAGGAGGGGGCUGCGGCCUAUCAGGUAGUUGGUAGGGUAAUAGCCUACCAAGCCGAUGACGGGUAGCCGGCCUGAGAGGGUGACCGGCCCGAGGGGCACUGAGAUACGGGUCCCACUCCUACGGGAGGCAGCAGGCUAGAAAUUUGGGCAAUGGGGGAAACCCUGACCCAGUGACGCCGCGUGCAGGAAGGAGCCCUUCGGGGUGUAAACUGCUGUCGUGUAGGGAGAAGGGUACUAAGGUGAACAAUCUUAGUACUUGACGGUACUACAGGAGGAAGCCCAGGCUAACCUCGUGCCAGCAGCCGCGGUAAAUAGCGUACUCUAAGA